rnacentral:rRNA from 1 species
UACCAGCACCCCGAGUGGUCGGGACGAUUAUUGGGCCUAAAGCAUCCGUAGCCGGUUCUACAAGUCUUCCGUUAAAUCCACCUGCUUAACAGAUGGGCUGCGGAGGAUACUAUAGAGCUAGGAGGCGGGAGAGGCAAGCGGUACUUAGUGGGUAGGGGUAAAAUCCGUUGAUCCAUUGAAGACCACCAGUGGCGAAGGCGGCUUGCCAGAACGCACUCGACGGUGAGGGAUGAAAGCUGGGGGAGCAAACGGG